rnacentral:rRNA from 1 species
CCUACGGGGGGCUGCAGUGAGGAAUAUUGGUCAAUGGUCGGGAGACUGAACCAGCCAAGCCGCGUGAGGGAUGAAGGUACAGAGUAUCGUAAACCUCUUUUGUCAGGGAACAAAGGCGGGGACGCGUCCCCGGAUGAGUGUACCUGAAGAAAAAGCAUCGGCUAACUCCGUGCCAGCAGCCGCGGUAAUACGGAGGAUGCGAGCGUUAUCCGGAUUUAUUGGGUUUAAAGGGUGCGCAGGCCGCAUGUCAAGCUUGCGGUGAAAUGUCCGGGCUCAACCCGGGCCUUGCAGCGCGAACUGGCGUGCUUGAGUCCGCGGAAAGCAGGCGGAAUGCGUCGUGUAGCGGUGAAAUGCUUAGAUAUGACGAAGAACCCCGAUUGCGAAGGCAGCUUGCUGCAGCGGAACUGACGCUGAUGCUCGAAAGCGCGGGUAUCGAACAGGAUUAGAUACCCCAGUAGUC